rnacentral:tRNA from 1 species
GCUCUAUUAGUAUUAAAUGGUAUAAUUGCCUUCCAAGCAAAAGGUCUAACGAUGUUAGAUAGAGUA